rnacentral:lncRNA from 1 species
GGGGGGACAGGCAGACUGUUUAAAUGGUUCUCAACUCAGGCUGCACAUUAUUGAUAAUGUUAUAUCCUACCAACGAGGACCAAUCAAAUUCUGACCUCAGGGGGUGAGCUCAGGUGCUAGUAUGUUUUCCCGAAUCACAGGGAAGGGUGAGAACCACUGCGGGUCAACAGGCAGCCAGCAGCUGUUCUUGAGGAAAGUGAGCAACAGUUGUUGGCCUCUGCUUUCCCCAGGCCAUCAGGUAGAGGUGCCCGAUUCCCAUUCAGCUCAGAAUCCCUGUGUCCACAUCGCCAUGGUUUCUAGAACUAGUCUUUCACACCCUGUUCCAAUGAGCCUAGUGGUGCUGUCAGUUCACCCUCCCCUUGGGCCUGGUCUUCAAUUUCCUGAUUGCUCUUCGACUACCUUCCUGGUUUCUCAGCCUGCUGGAGAUCUCUCUUAAAAGAUUAUAGAAAAUCAGAGCUCAAGAACAGUGGUGUUUAUUAGACCUUGCCCUGGAAUCCCUCAUGGCAUGUUCACAGCUAAGCGCAUGGUAAAUGCUCAUAAUGUAUGUGUUCAAUUGAAAGCAGUCCCUCUGGGGCACCUGGGUGGCUCAGUGGUUGAGCACCUGCCUUUGUCUCAGGUCAUGAUCCUGGGGUCCUGGGAUCAAGUCCCACCCUCUUUCUCUGUGUCUCUCAUGAAUAAAUCUAAAAAAAAAUCUAAAAAAAGAAAGCA